UUUUAUUCUUAGGCUAAAGCCUAGCAUUAAUUAUUUGGAUAUAGUCACUAGGUGUAAUCACAAGUGCCAGUUUGUUUUAGCUGAUCUCAUUUGAGGUACAUUUUGGUCUGAGAAAGUACUAGAUCAUCUCUGCACAAGAGAUGUCAUGCAGAGUACCCUCCCCACCUCUGAAAGAAGUAAAUUAAUUGAGCUUUUUACUCAGGUGAAUAAAUCAAUGUGAGUAAGACGGAAAAAUACAAAACGCUUAUGGCUUCUUUUGUUUUCCAGUGUUCUGGACUUGGUGCCUCUUUCUGUUAUAUGCUUUCCUAUUUAGUUGGGAGACCAGUUGUAUACAAAUACCUAACAGAGAAAGCAGUAAAAUGGUCACAGCAGGUUGAACGUCAUAGAGAACAUCUCAUUAACUACAUUAUAUUUUUGAGAAUAACACCAUUUCUGCCUAAUUGGUUUAUUAAUAUCACAUCUCCUGUGAUAAACGUGCCAUUGAAAGUUUUUUUUAUUGGUACUUUUCUAGGUGUCGCACCUCCUUCUUUUGUAGCCAUUAAGGCAGGAACAACACUGUAUCAACUUACAACAGCAGGAGAAGCUGUUUCCUGGAACUCAAUAUUUAUUCUGAUGAUCUUGGCUGUUCUUUCUAUUCUGCCAGCCAUCUUCCAAAAAAAACUAAAGCAGAAAUUUGAGUAAAAAUAAUCAUCUGAUUUUUAGUUUUGCUGUCAUCACCAUCUCAGGAUUAACAGGUGCAUCCAUUUAUGUUUUAAAAUCACCUCUUCAGUAAUUAAACAAGGAAUUUGUAAAAUAAAAUUUCCUAUCAGAUAGUUAAAGUAAUACAUUUAAGUGACAAGGGGAGAAGAAAGUAAAAAUGGAAAUUGGUAUACUGUGAAAAGUGCUAUCAAUAGUUAAGGUAGACAUCUUAGACAUCUUAUAAAUUAUUAUACCAAGGGUAGCUGUAGAUAAUAGUAGUGUGGUAGG
rnacentral:lncRNA from 1 species